rnacentral:piRNA from 1 species
UACUAGUGUACAAAACUGUUGCAAAUGGA